CCAGCUCUGCUGCCUCCCUAAAGCUCUCAAAAUAGGGGUGCUGCAGCAGCUGCUCACAGCUCUGCCUCUCCGCAGGGUCCAUCCGAAGGCAGCCCUUAGAAAAGGUGGAGAAUGACACCGAGCACUCCUUACACAGCUCUGCACAAUUCCUGCUGCUCCCCACGGCCAGCGAGUGUUCCCACAGAUACUGAAAUCCUGCCUGGAAAAGUUUCUGAACAGCCUGUUCUAGCUGAUCCAUCUUGACUGGAAUGGCUGGAUAAGAUCUCCAGAGGUCCCUUCCAACAUCAGCAAUUCUGUGAUUCUUUGGAGAGGAAACACCUUGGACUUGCCAAGCUGCUGGUAAAUUAUUGUGUCUCCUCUGGAGGACUGAAAUGCUGCUUAUUAAACCACUGUCACGGAGUUCCAAAAAGGGCAGCUGCAUGAAACUGUGAUCACAGGUAAUCAACAGGUCAGGCUGCAGCAUCUCAUUGUUCCCUCUGCUCUCAAACUCCAUUAAAUCUUCCACACUGAGCAAGGAAACAUAAAAAAGGCACAAACCAACAAAUCUUGGAAGCAGGAGAGACCUGUGGCCAAGUUCCUGUGGCUCAGCUGGACAUAAUUCUCUCAGCAAAGACAAAACACCCAUUCCAGAGCCAUCUCCUGCCCCACUCUUAAAUCUCAAAUGUUGGCAGAUGAACAAAACCAAAGACAAUUAGAGCUAAGUUUGCCUAAAGACCUUCUCCAAAAGGCUCCUUCUCCUUCCCUGCUUCUUAAAAUGUUCCCACUGAAGUAUCUGUCAAGCGCACAAUUCAUGUCUCCAGAAAGCAGAGGAGGGAGUAAAGUGGGUUUACUGUCUCUAAGUUUUGAAAUCUUUUCACUGGUGCCAUGAUUCAACCCCAUGGCAGUGAACUGAAGGAGUUUCUGUGAAAUCAGCAGCAGUUUGCCCAGGUCCCAGCUGAUGGCAGUUCCUGAAGGUCAGCAGCAGUGCAGGGUACAGGGAAUCACACAAGGAUCAUUCCCAUUCUCCUGGGAGCUUCUCCAAGGUCAUUAGAGCAAAUCAUUACCUGACAGCCAAGCCCAGGGGCCUGUGUGACAGUGAAGGCAGCUGGUGUGGGUGUACACCAAUAUUUCAGAUGUGUUUCCUGUUGAAAACAGGAGAUUCCAUCUGACCCCAUCCCAUGAAAUCAUGGGAAAGCAUGCAGCCAUUUUCCUGGAAUCAGGAAAAUGCCAACAGAGCCCCUCUCUCUCCUCCAAGGCCAUGUUCCAGCAAUCAUUAGUGCAGGCCAGGGGACUCACGUUGUGUUUGUGGCAGAAGUUCACAGCCUGCAGGGUCUGCCAGGUUAUGCUCUUCACCAGGUACUCUGGCACCCUGUUGGGAAAAAAACCCAGAGUUUUAUUUUGGCUAUUAAUAAUAAAUUUAGUGUUGUGGGGAAAAUGAGUGCUGACAUUGUCCAGGAAUCUCUGAGCAAAACCAUCAGGGAAGUCAGGAAACACUUCCAAAGCCAGUCAGUGCAACAAGACACGAGGAUUUAUGUCUGGUACCAGUCACAGCCAGCAUGGGCUGCCACUGUGAUCACACAGCCAAGUGUGUGAGUCUGUAUCAGAUCCCAUCCUACAAUUCCUGGCAAUGCUGAAAUGCCAGCAGCAAUUUCUGCCUCAGCAGCUCUGAGGGCUGGAACUGCUGGAGUAUCCAUGGUAUAGCUACAUGGAAUGCUGCCGUGGCACUGAUUGUCCAGAGAGGAGAGGUGAAAAAUGGGCCAGAGAAGGGUACUCAGACAAAAGUAAUAAAGCUUGGCUUUGGUUUGGAUCCCCCUCCUUCCCUCCCACAGCUGGCAAACACUCCCCAGCCUCCUCUCCUUUCUUUCAGUUACUGGGCAACAGUUCUUGAAGUUCCUUUGCUGUCUGUUGAAGGAUCUUCAACAACCCCAGGAAAGGCAGAAGUGACAAUCUCGGCAUUUUCAAACUCAAACACAAUUUUAUUUCACCUGUUUAAUGCUGAAAAGCUUCUGAUUCAUAAUAAAGAAAAAAACUACCUAAAAAUAAACCAAAACAAUGCAAGCCCGAGGUUUUCUUUCAAGUUUGGCUUUCACGUUCAGUGGGUCAGUGAUACUCUGCUGACGCUGUGA